rnacentral:lncRNA from 1 species
AUUUGCAAUGGAUGCGUGAAUGUAAUUUGAGUCCAGGUAUGGAUUUUGCUAAGAAGUCACACUGGGAACACUGAUGAUUUUCAUUUUAAUAAUAACAAUAAUUCUUUUACUAGUUCCAAUCAUUUGACUGAGGCCAUCCAGGGGCACCGCCUUUAGUCGAGCAAAUCGACCCUAGGACUUAUUUUUUGUAAGCUUAGUACUUAUUCUAUCGGUUUCUUUUUGCCGAACCGCUAAGAUACAGGGACGUAAAGACACCAGCAUCAAUUGUCAAGCGAUGUUGGUGGGGACAAACACAGACACACAAACAUACACACACACACACACAUAUAUAUAUAUAUAUAUAUAUAUAUAUAUAUAUACACGACGGGUUUCUUUCAGUUUCCCUCUACUAAAUCCACUCACAAAGCUUUGGUCGGCCCGAGGUUAUAGUAGAAGACACUUGCCCAAAGUACCAUGCAGUGCGACUGAACCCGGAACCAUGUGGUUGGUAAACAAGCUACUUAGCACACAGCCACUCUUGAAUAAUAAUAAUAUUCUGCUCAAUACCACAGAUUUGCUUGUCAGUUGUUUGACCUUAACCAGUUGAGUAUAUUCCUUAGUGGCUGACAAUAUGUGCAUCUCUGAUCACAAGCAGAAGUAGUGGGAGAGCAUCAUAGCCGUAUGUUGAAAGGAAUUCUUAGAGGUUUGGAUAAUUCACCUUUGGAAACAUGGGUGGUUCGUUCAACAUCCUUAAACAAUCCUUAUUCAGGGAACUUUUAAGUGGGAUGGGCUACUCGACCAGGAGAAAAUUUUUAUUGGGCCCCACCUGCAAGGUCACGCGCUGUUUAUCUUGAUAUAAGAUCACUUUGUCGUGCACAUAUGGUUGUGAUGCAUAUGCCUGGUGUACCCUUAUCAGACGGGUAGUCAUGAUGGGUAUAUUAGGCUUCGUAUAUUUUACCCCAGUGUCACGUUAAUGGCAUGCACUGCUCUCUCACUCAAUAAUAAUAAUAAUAAUAAUAAUAAUAAUAAUAAUAAUAAUAAUAAUAAUAAUAAUAAUGAUGAUGGACAAGAAACAAUAAAUCAUAUUAUCUCUAGCUGCCCAGUCCUGGCUAAGAAGGAAUAUAUUCACAGACAUGACAGAGUUGGAACCUACAUACACUGGAAGCUAUGCCAACAUUAUGGAAUAACAACAGAAAAAAGAUGGUAUAGGCACACACCAGAAAAGGUUACAGAAAACGAGAAAGCAACAAUACUCUGGGAUAUGCCGAUACACACAGAUAGAGAAAUUAAGGCCAACAGACCAGAUAUAGUUGUCAGAGAUCAUGAAGAAAAAAAAUGCUUUCUAAUUGAUGUAUCAAUACCGGCAGAUGACAACGUGUCUCUAAAAGAAAUGGAGAAACUCUCAAAAUACAAAGACCUGGAAAUAGAGGAAUGUGGAAUCUGAAAACAGAAACAAUUCCUAUCAUAGUAGGUGCAUUAGGCAUGAUAAAAAAAUAUUCAGACAAAUACAUAACAAAAACACCAGGACUUACAAACACAUAUAUCAUACAGAAAAAUGCACUGCUAGGCACUGCACACAUCCUACGCAGAGCACUUUCCAUACAAUAACCAUCAGAGCAUCACAACAAAUCACAGCACAUACCGAAGGCACACAGAGCUGCGCUCGGUAGUGAAGUGAAAGCACGCUAUAAAAAUAAAACUACGGAAUAAUAAUGAUGAUGAUGAUGAUGAUGAUGAUGAUGAUGAUGAUGAUGAUGAUGAUGAUGGCCCUGAUGCAGCACCAGACAGGGGCUCAUAAAUGUCUUGAAAGGUUGGGAAUAUUUUGAGAAUAAAAAAAGAUACAGCCAAUCAAACUACCCGAGUUUGUAAAGAAGAUAAAAACUGAAAAAGCAAAGACACUCAAACCAAGUUAUUUGGUCUCUGAAAUUAUUGCCAAGGUUGAAGCACCUCAGAUUUAUGGUGAGAAACUUGUCAAGCCUGUGCAAAUGAGGUUCUGGGAAGAGAUGCAAAGCUAGCUUGUGCAAAUGAGGCUCUGAGAAGAGAUGCUGCAUCUACUCUGAGUACAAUUCCACUUUCAAAUAACACAAUUACAAGAAGACAGGAUGAAAUGUCUAAUUUUGUUGAGAAGAUUGUGGAAAAUUCUCCAAAAGACAAAUUUUUCUAUCCACAUUGAUGAUAGCACAAUUCAUAGCCAAGCUAUCCUUCUGGUCUAUGUCAGAUUCAUCCAUGAAGAUGAUAUAAGGGAAGAAAUGUUAAUCAUUAAAAGUUUGUCUGAAACUACUAAUGGAGAAGAUAUAUUCAAUGAAGUAAUGCAGCAUUUUAAUGAUAAAAAAAUAACAUUGACGAAUUUGAUCAACAUUGCAUCAGAUGGAGCUGCAGCCAUAACUGGAAAAGUGAAAGGCUUCUGUUUCUAAAAUGAAAUCAGUUACUCCUCACAUUUUUUAUAUACAUUGCAUUAUCCACAGACAGCAUUUGGUUGCUAAGAAUAUUGGAGGACACAUGGAAGCACUCAACACUGCCA